rnacentral:rRNA from 1 species
CCUACGGGUAGCAGCAGUGAGGAAUAUUGGUCAAGGGGCGGGAGCCUGAACCAGCCAAGCCGCGUGAGGGAAGAAGGUACAGCGUAUCGUAAACCUCUGUUGUCAGGGAACAAAGGCGGGGACUAGUCCCCGGAUGAGGGUACCGGAAGAAAAAGCAUAGGCUAACUCCGUGCCAGCAGCCGCGGUAAUACGGAGGAUGCGAGCGUUAUCCGGAGUUAUUGGGUUUAAAGGGUGCGCAGGCGGCCUGUUAAGUCAGCGGGAAAAGCCCGGGGCUCACCCCCGGCGAGCCGUUGAAACAGGAGGGCUGGAGUUGGAGAGAAGUACGCGGACUGCGCGGUGUAGCGGUGAAAUGCUUAGAUAUCGCGCAGAACCCCGAUUGCGAAGGCAGCGUACCGGCUCCACACUGACGCUGAGGCACGAAAGCGUGGGUAUCGAACAGGAUUAGAUACCCUAGUAGUC